UACGGAGGGUGCAAGCGUUGUCCGGAAUCAUUGGGUUUAAAGGGUACGUAGGUGGAAAGGUAAGUCAGUGGUGAAAUCCCCCGACUCAAUCGGGGAACUGCCAUUGAUACUGCCAUUCUUGAGUUCAGUUGAGGUAAGCGGAAUGUGGCAUGUAGCGGUGAAAUGCAUAGAUAUGCCGCAGAACACCGAUUGCGAAGGCAGCUUACUAAGCUGAAACUGACGCUAAUGUACGAAAGCGUGGGGAGCAAACAGG
rnacentral:misc_RNA from 1 species